rnacentral:rRNA from 1 species
GACGAACGCUGGCGGCGUGCUUAACACAUGCAAGUCGAACGGAAAGGCCCUGCUUUUGUGGGGUGCUCGAGUGGCGAACGGGUGUGUAACACGUGAGUAACCUGCCCUUGACUUUGGUAUAACUUCAGGAAACUGGGGCUAAUACCGGAUAGGAGCUCCUGCUGCAUGGUGGGGGUUGGAAAGUUUCGGCGGUUGGGGAUGGACUCGCGGCUUAUCAGCUUGUUGGUGGGGUAGUGGCUUACCAAGGCUUUGGCGGGUAGCCGGCCUGAGAGGGUGACCGGCCACAUUGGGACUGAGAUACGGCCGAGACUCCUACGGGAGGAAGUAGUGGGGAAUAUUGCAGAAUGGGCGGAAGCCUGAUGCAGCAACGCCGAGUGCGGGAUGACGGCCUUCGGGUUGGAAACCGCUUUCGCCUGUGACGAAGCGUGAGUGAAGGUAAUGGGUAAAGAAGCACCGGCUAACUACGUG